rnacentral:rRNA from 1 species
GACGAACGCUGGCGGCGUGCUUAACACAUGCAAGUCGAACGGAAAGGCCCUGCUUUUGUGGGGUGCUCGAGUGGCGAAAGGGUGAGUAACACGUGAGUAACCUGCCCUUGACUUUGGGAUAACUUCAGGAAACUGGGGCUAAUACCGGCUAGGAGCUCCUGCUGCAUGGUGGGGGUUGGAAAGUUUCGGCGGUUGGGGAUGGACUCGCGGCUUAUCAGCUUGUUGGUGGGGUAGUGGCUUACCAAGGCGUUGACGGGUAGCCGGCCUGAGAGGGUGACCGGCCACAUUGGGACUGAGAUACGGCCCAGACUCCUACGGGAGGCAGCAGUGGGGAAUAUUGCACAAUGGGCGGAAGCCUGAUGCAGCAACGCCGCGUGCGGGAUGACGGCCUUCGGGUUGUAAACCGCUUUCGCCUGUGACGAAGCGUGAGUGACGGUAAUGGGUAAAGAAGCACCGGCUAACUACGUG